rnacentral:snRNA from 1 species
AUGCUCUGGUUUCUCCUCAGAUCGCAUAAAUCUUUCACCUUUUACUAAAGAUUUCCAGAGAGGGGGACAGUCAUGAGCCUUAGCCC